GGAUAGGCGGGGCUGGCAGGCAGAGAGGAUAAACAGGAGAACUGAGGAGGAGCAAAAAAGAACAAGGAGAGGAGGCCAUCAGGGCCCAGCCACCCAGCUCCACAGCCAUCCAGCGGAGUAAGAGGAAGGUGACAGAAGGGAACAGGAAAAGCCCAGAGGUGGAAGCUGGGUGACAGCCCGCCAGAAGAGAAAACACGUCUUACUACAGUUUGCCGCGUUCCCAAACAUCCGAGAGGUCCUGAAGAAGGAUGAGGCGAACUAUACUGAUCUGCAUGCAUCAACAUCAUUCCUAGACUUCAGUGGGCGCACUCUGUCUCCGCCCCAGAAGAGGAAUUCAGCUGCUCUAAGGACGCGGAAAAUUGCAGUGAAUUGGUGGUUCUCAAGUUGUGGGCCGUGACCCCUUUGGGGGUCAAAUGAACCUUUCACAGGGGAAUCAUAUGGUACCCAUUUAAGCUUCCAAGACAGACAAUAAUUCCUGGCAACCAACAGUGGAAAAUAUGCAUGCAGCUCCAGGUGGAUCACAGACCUCCCUCUUAAACAGUUGGAAAUGUUUCUAUUGGCAUUCGUGUCUUGGCAAAUACUAAUUUUCUCUCAAUGGCAAGAAUUCAUCAUCUGCAGCUCCAAGAAAAAGAACCAAACACAUGUGACUGGAAAUUCCUUCUUACUGGCA